rnacentral:rRNA from 1 species
UACGUAGGUGGCAAGCGUUGUCCGGAUUUACUGGGCGUAAAGAGCGCGCAGGCGGUCGUCCAAGUCGCGUGUGAAAGCCCCCGGCUCAACUGGGAGGGUCACGCGAUACUGAUCGACUCGAAGGCAGGAGAGGGUAGUGGAAUUCCCGGUGUAGCAGUGAAAUGCGUAGAUAGUCUGGAGGAACACCGGUGGCGAAGGCGGCAUCCUGGACCAACACUGACACUGAGGAGCGAAAGCCAGGGGAGCAAACGGG